rnacentral:rRNA from 1 species
AUUGAACGCUGGCGGCAUGCCUUACACAUGCAAGUCGAACGGUAACAGGUCUUCGGAUGCUGACGAGUGGCGAACGGGUGAGUAAUACAUCGGAACGUGCCUAGUAGUGGGGGAUAACUACUCGAAAGAGUGGCUAAUACCGCAUGAGAUUUACGGAUGAAAGCAGGGGAUCGCAAGACCUUGUGCUACUAGAGCGGCCGAUGGCAGAUUAGGUAGUUGGUGGGAUAAAAGCUUACCAAGCCGACGAUCUGUAGCUGGUCUGAGAGGACGAUCAGCCACACUGGGACUGAGACACGGCCCAGACUCCUACGGGAGGCAGCAGUGGGGAAUUUUGGGCAAUGGGCGCAAGCCUGAUCCAGCAAUGCCGCGUGCAGGAUGAAGGCCUUCGGGUUGUAAACUGCUUUUGUACGGAACGAAAAGCCCUGGGUUAAUACCCUGGGGUCAUGACGGUACCGUAAGAAUAAGCACCGGCUAACUACGUGCCAGCCGCCGCCGUAAGAC